AUGCGCCGGGCAGCCGCCGCCGCCACCACCAGGAUCAGGAUCGGGAUGGCGGCGGAGGAGGUCAGGCAGGCGUCCGCGGCCGCCACGGCGGCCGAGGCCGCGUCCGCGUCGGUGCCGGCCCCCGCGGGCUCCCGGUGGGCGCGGGUCUGGCCCUCCGCGCUGCGCUGGAUCCCCACCUCCACGGAACGCAUCAUCGCCGCAGAGAAGCGACUCCUCUCCAUCCUCAAAACUGGGUAUGUCCAAGAACAAGUUAACAUUGGCUCUGCUCCACCUGGGUCAAAAGUAAAAUGGUUUAGAUCAUCAAGUGAUGAGCCAAGGUUCAUCAAUACAGUGACAUUUGAUAGCAAGGAGAAUGCUCCCACCCUUGUCAUGGUCCAUGGUUAUGGUGCGUCACAGGGGUUCUUCUUUAGAAACUUUGAUGCCCUUGCAAGCCGUUUCCGGGUGAUUGCCAUUGACCAGCUUGGUUGGGGUGGAUCAAGCAGACCUGACUUUGACUGUAGAAGUACUGAAGAAACCGAGGCUUGGUUCAUAGAUUCUUUUGAGGAAUGGCGCAAAGCAAAAAACCUCAGUAAUUUUAUAUUGCUUGGUCAUUCUUUCGGAGGAUAUGUUGCGGCAAAGUAUGCCUUACAGCAUCCUGAACAUGUUCAGCACUUGAUUUUGGUUGGUUCUGCUGGCUUUUCGUCAGAAACAGAUCAUAGUUCUGAGUGGUUAACCAAGUUCCGUGCAACGUGGAAAGGCAUGCUAGUAAACCAUCUUUGGGAGUCCAAUUUCACUCCUCAGAGAAUUGUGAGAGGAUUAGGUCCUUGGGGCCCAGAUUUAGUUCGGAGAUAUACCACUGCUAGGUUUGGCUCACAUUCAACAGGUGAAUUACUAACAGAAAACGAGUCCUCCUUGCUGACAGAUUACAUUUACCACACUUUAGCUGCCAAAGCUAGUGGAGAGCUGUGCUUAAAACAUAUUUUUUCCUUGGGGGCAUUUGCAAGGAAACCACUUCUGCACAGUGCAUCCGACUGGAAAGUGCCAACUACUUUCAUAUAUGGUCAUGACGAUUGGAUGAAUUACCAAGGGGCGCAGCAAGCACGCAAGGACAUGAAAGUUCCUUGCGAAAUCAUCAGUCCCACAGGUCAGUUUUCCUUUCUGGCAGUAUGUGUACAGCUAAAAGAUACUUCUACUGUAUUGACAACGUAUACCUUAACUGCUAUGCAGGGAGGACAUUUUGUGUUUAUAGAUAACCCUGUGGGUUUCCACUCGGCGAUCUUCUACGCGUGCCGGAAAUUUUUAUCUGGAGAUGCAGAGGAGGGUCUCUCUCUUCCUGAUGGCUUGAUAUCUGCAUGA
rnacentral:rRNA from 1 species